GACGAACGCUGGCGGCGUGCUUAACACAUGCAAGUCGAGCGGAAAGGCCCCUUUGUUGGUACUCUAGUGUUGAACGGGGGAGUAACACUUGCGUAACCUUCCCUUGACUUUGGGAUAGCUUCAGGUAACGGGGGCUAAUACCGGAUAGGAAUCCUUUCUUCAUGGGGGUGGUUGGACAGCGUCGGCGGGUUUGGAUGUACUCGCGGCUUAUCUGCUUGUUGGUGGGGUAGUGUCUUACCAACGCUUCGACGGGUAGCCGGCCUGAGAGGGCGACCGGCCACAUAGGGACUGAGAUAAGGCACAGACUGCUAAGGGAGGCAGAAGUGGGGAAGAUUGAACAAUGGGCGGAAGCCUAGUGCAGAAACGCCGCGUGCGGUAUGACGGUCUUAGGGUUGAAAAACGAUUUCAGCAGGAGCGAAGCUUGUGGUGACGGUACCUGAAGAAGAAGCACCGGCUAACUACGUG
rnacentral:rRNA from 1 species